CGCCCUUAGAGAGCAGCCAGCUGCUCCGUUUCCAAGGACGCGCGAGCCUCCGACUUCCGGCCGCGAGAGGCGUACCCAGGACCCUGACUUGGGAAUCUCGCUCCGGGCGGCACCACGAGACCCCGACUCUAGAGCCGCGGGCGUCCAGAGAUGAGCAGCAAUGACUCCUCCCUUAUGGCUGGGAUCAUUUACUACAGCAAAGAAAAGUACUUCCGCCACGUGCAGGAGGCUGCAGCUGUGGGCCUGGAAAAAUUCAACAAUGACCCAGUGCUGCAGUUCUUUAAAGCCUAUGGAGUCCUCAGGGAAGAGCACAUCCAGGAUGCCAUCAGCAGCCUGGAGAGCAUCCGGAAUCACCCAGAUGUGUCCCUGUGCUCCAUCAUGGCCCUCAUUUAUGCUCACAAGUGCUGUGAAACCAUUGACCGAGAAGCAAUUCAGGAGCUUGAGAGCAGCCUGAAAGAAGUCCGCAAGACAGCCAGUGGGACUGCCCUGUACUAUGCUGGCCUCUUCCUCUGGCUCAUGGGCCUCCACGACAAGGCCAAGGAAUACAUUGACCGCACGUUGAAGAUCUCCAGCAGCUCCAGAGAGGGCUAUGUGCUCAGAGGCUGGGUGGACCUCAGCUCAGACAAACCCCACACGGUGAAGAAGUCCAUCAAGUACCUGGAGCAUGGCAUUCAGGACACCAAAGACGUCCUGGGACUAAUGGGAAAGGUGAUGUACUUCAUGAUGCUGCAGAACUACUCGGGGGCCCUUGAGGUGGUGAACCAGAUCACUGUCACCUGCGGGAGCUUCCUGCCUGCCUUGGUCCUAAAGAUGCGGCUGUUCCUGGCUCGGCAGGACUGGGAGCAGACGGUAGAAAUGGGACACAGAAUCCUCGAAAAAGACAAAAGCAAUAUCGAUGCCUGCCAAAUUCUAGCUGUGCAUGAGCUCGCAAGAGAAGGAAACAUGACCGUGGCUGCCGAGCACGUUAGGAAUCUGAUUAAGGCACUGGAAACCAGAGAGCCCCAAAAUCCAAGCCUCCAUCUUAAAAAAAUUCUUGUGGUGAGCAGACUGUGUGGGAGGCACCAGGGGAUUCUGCAGCUGGUGUGUAGCUUCAUCGAACGAGCCUUCAUGGCCACAUCCUCCGACGCCCACAUGGCCACCGAGCUGGGCUACCUCUUCAUCCUGCAGGACCAAGUAAAGGAGGCGUCUCUGUGGUACUCGAAGGCCAUGAAGCUGGACGAGAGCAGCGUGGCUGCUUUGACAGGGAUCAUCUGGUGCCAGAUCUUAGACGGCCACCUGGAGGAGGCCGAACACCAGCUGGAAUUCCUGAAGGAGGUGCAGCAGUCCCUGGGGAAGUCCGAGGUGCUGGUUUUCCUGCAAGCCCUCCUGGCGUCCAAGAAGCAUAAGGGGGAGCAGGAGGCCACGACGCUGCUAAAGGAGGCCGCUGAGCUGCACUUCUCCAGCAUGCAGGCCCUCCCCAUGAGCUCCGAAUACUUGGAACGGCUCGACCCCAUCUUCCUGGUCUGCAUCGCCAAGGAAUACCUGGUCUUCUGCCCCAAGCAGCCCCGGUCUCCAGGCCAGAUCGUGUCUCCUCUUCUUAAGCAAGUCACUGCGAUCUUGAAUCCUGUAGUCAAAGUGGCACCAGCCCUGAUUGAGCCGCUGUAUGUGAUGGCCCAGGUCAAGUAUCUCUCAGGGGAGUUAGAGCAUGCCCAGAGCACCCUGCAGCGUUGCCUGGAGCUGGACCCCACCUCCGUGGACGCCCACCUCCUCAUGGCUCAGAUCUACCUGGCUCAGGACAACUUUGCCAUGUGCUCCCACUCCUUGGAGCUGGGCGUCAGCCACAACUUCCAGGUCCGAGACCACCCGCUUUACCACUUCAUCAAGGCCAAGGCCCUCAACAAGUCUGGGGACUAUCCAGAAGCUAUAAAGGCACUGAAGAUGAUCAUAAAAUUACCAACUCUGAGGACGGAAGAGAACAAGAAGUUCCGUGGGCCCUGCGUGCGCCCCAGCGAGCGGGUGUCCAUCUUACUGGAGCUGGCAGAUGCCCUCCGGAUGAAUGGAGAGCUGCACGAGGCCACCAAGGUCAUGCAGGAUGCCAUCAACGAGUUCAGCGGCACGCCGGAGGAGAUGCGCAUCACCAUCGCCAAUGUGGACUUGGCCCUGAGCAAGGGCAACGUGGACCUGGCUCUGAGCGUGCUGCAGAGCAUCACACCCAAGCAGCCCUGCUACAUGGAAGCCAAGGAGAAGAUGGCCAGCAUCUACCUGCAGACCCGCAAGGACGCCCGCCUCUAUAUCGGGUGCUACCGGGAGCUCUGUGAACAUCUGCCUGGCCCCCACACCAGUCUGCUUCUGGGUGAUGCUUUCAUGAACAUUCAGGAGCCAGAGAAGGCCCUGGAGGUCUAUGAUGAGGCCUACAGAAAGAACCCACACGACACAUCCCUGAUCAGCCGGAUCGGGCAGGCUUAUGUCAAGACCCACCAGUACACCAAGGCAAUUAAUUAUUAUGAGGCUGCCCAGAAGAUUAGCGGACAGGACUUUGUGUGCUGCGAUCUGGCCGAACUUCUCCUGAAGUUAAAGAAGUUCAACAAAGCAGAAAAAGUUUUGAAGCAGGCACUGGAUCAUGACUUUGUCAAAGACAUCCCAUCCAUGAUGAAUGAUGUCAAGUGCUUACUUUUGCUGGCCAAGGUUUACAAGAGUCAUAAAAAAGAAGAUGUGACGGAAACUUUGAACAAGGCCAUGGACCUCCAGUCUCGGAUCCUGAAGCGUGUUCCCCUGGAGCGACCAGAAAUGAUCCCCUCCCAGAAGCAACUGGCAGCCUCCAUCUGCAUCCAGUUUGGGGAAUACUACCUGGCAGAGAAGGAGUAUGCCAAGGCAGUGCAGUCUUAUAAAGAUGCCCUCUCCUACACGCCUAUUAACAAUAAGGUGGUGCUGGAGCUGGCGAGGCUCUACCUGCUGCAGGGACACCUGGACCUGUGUGAGCAGCACUGUGCCGACCUCCUGCAGACUGAGAAGAACCACGAGGCAGCCUCCGUGGUGAUGGCUGACCUGAUGUUUAGAAGACAGAAAUACGAGGCUGCCAUCAACCUCUACCACCAAGUCCUGGAGAAAGCACCAGACAAUUUUCCUGUAUUGAACAAACUAAUCGAUCUGCUACGAAGAAGUGGCAAACUUGAGGCCGCCCCUGCCGUCUUUGAAUUGGCCGAGAAGAUGUCCAGCCGGGUGCCUUUGGAGCCAGGGUUCAACUUCUGCAGAGGCAUCUACUGCUGGCACAUAGGACAGCCCAAUGAAGCCCUGAAGUUCCUGAACAAAGCGCGCAAGGACAGCGCUUGGGGCCAGAGCGCCACCUACCACAUGGUGCAGAUCUGUCUGAACCCAGACAACGAGAUCGUGGGCGGAGAGGCUUUCGAGAACCUGGUGACCGAGAGCAACCCCAGUGCCCGCAGCUUCAGCAGCAGGAAGGAGUUGGAGCAACAUGGCGUGCGCACCGCCGAGAAGCUGCUGCAGGAGUUCUACCCACACUCGGCCGGGGGCCAUACCCAGCUGCGGCUGCUGCAGAGCCUGUGCCUGCUGGCGACCAGGGAGAAGGCCAACGUGGAAGUGGCGCUGAGCACCUUCGUUGAGAUGGCCCAGGCUGAGAAGGACAGCGUCCCCGCCCUGCUGGCCAUGGCGCAGGCCUGCUCCCUGCUGAAGCAGGUCCCCAAGGCACGCACGCAGCUGAAGCGCCUGGCCAAGGCCCCGUGGGCACUGGCUGAGGCCGAUGACCUGGAGAGGAGCUGGCUCCUGCUGGCCGAUAUCUACUGCCAGGGCGGCAAGUUUGACCUGGCCUUGGAGCUGCUGCAGCGCUGCGUGAAAUACAACAAGUCCUGCUGUAAGGCCUACGAGUACAUGGGCUUCAUCAUGGAAAGGGAGCGGUCAUACAAGGACGCGGCCUCCAACUACGAGCUGGCCUGGCAGUACAGCCGUCACACCAGCCCCGCCAUCGGUACAGUCGUCGGGCAGGCACGCGCUUCAGGCUCGCUUUCAACUACUUGAAAGACAAGAGAUUCGUGGAAGCCAUUGAAGUCUGCCAUGAUGUCCUCAGGGAGCACCCCAACUACCCUAAAAUCAGAGAAGAAAUUCUGGCAAAGGCCCAAGGGUCUCUGAGGCCCUAGCUGUGGAUGGCGGUAAUGGGCCAGGCUCACCGCAGGGGAAGGAGCUCUGAACUGGGAGUCAGGAGGCCUAGAAUCUCCCUGUGUGACCUUUCCCUCUGGGUAUGUGUCCCCAUCUGUGGCAGGAAAUUAGACUAGAUCUCUCUGUUCUCAAAUUACAGUACAAAUCCCUGCCAACGAUAUACAGCAAACAUCUGAAAAUUUCAUAACUAUGUGUUUAAAUAUCAUCCUUAUAUAAUAGAGAAAAAUAGCACACAAACUCAUGAAUUUGUGAGUGCUGUUACAUAGAAUACUUCUCACUUUUAAGCAUAUUGAUAUAAUCGAUAAAAAGUAAAAUAAUUCAUAGGCUUCCCUGGUGUCUCAGUGGUAAAGAAUCCGCCUGCCAAUGCAGGAGACACAGGUUCAAUCCCUGGGUCGGGAAGAUCCCCUGGAGGAGGAAAUGGCAACCCACUGCAGUAUUCUUGCCUGGGAAAUCCCAGGGACAGUGAAGUCUGAUAGGAUACAGUCCAUAGGGUUGCAAAGAGUUGGACCUGACUGAGUGACUAAACAACAAAAUAUACUUAGUAUGAGUAGAACUCAGAUAGGGCAGAGUUUUCAAGUUGUCCAGUGACUAAGGUUUGGGAACAGUGAACAGGUUAGGGUCCCUUCUAGAACAGCCUAAGGCAUCCCUCAUGACUUCGAGCCUUGUUUUUAUAACAGACUGAUGAUCACGUGCGUGGCCUUUUGGUAUGAGUCAAUGAUCUGGAACAUCUUCCCCAGGUUACCACCAUCAUUCCUAUGGGAAGCCAGCUGCCUUUAUUAUGAUCUGUUUUACAAGCUAGUUUCUAGGGGUGGAUUAUGUUGAGAGGUACCCCUGUGGCCCCAGCUGGGGAAUGGGUGGCUUAGUCCAACCAUGGGCUGUGGCCAUGGGAUAGGAACCUACACGGGCUUCGAACCAGAGUAUUGGAGCUGUGGGGAGCUGCCACCCAGACCCCCAGGCUGGCCCAAGGAUCAUGCCUUUGGAUCAUGCACACUGGAGCAAUCACAAGCGUGUCGGGCUUCCAGGCUACACAAGGCAACUUAGUGAACUAGGGUACUCCACCCUGAGAUGCCUCAGACCUGGCUGUCCCUGCCUAAGCUGGUUCUGGGGACAGGCGGCCCCACUGCAGGCCAGACUCCAAACCAUGAGUUCUCUAAUGGCCACUCCACUGAUGAUAGGACUGCGUGACCAUGUCCACACGUCCUGAGGCAAGAGAUACAUACCUAGAGGGUCACAGAACUGGCAGAAGAAGAGAAUAAAACCUACAGAAAGAGAGGCAGACACUUGAAAACAGAAUGGGAAGUCACAGAUAUGCACCAGAGGCCUGCAAGUUCAGGCGCUCCCGUGAGUGCCGGUUUAUGUAUGAACUGAACAAGCUUGUGAGGUGAGUAACGUUAUUAUUUAGACAGUUUGGGAGACAUCCAGGCACACAGACAGGAAGUAAUUUGCAUAAGUCACCUCACUAGUUAGUAUAACAGCAGGGUUUCAAACCCUGGCAUUCAGGGCCCAUACUCUUAACCUGUAAACCAUAGAGAGGAAAUAGGGGGAGCCCAACACAGGCCAGAGGCAGAGGAUGAGAGCAAGAAAAAGGAAACCAAGUCAGGCCUCUUUGGUGCCCCCUCCUAGCGCUUAUAUGUUGUUGUUCAGUCGCUAAGUCGUGUCCACCUCUCUGUGGCCCCAUGGACUGCAGCACGCCAGGCUCCUCUGUCCAGCACUUGUGUACAUCAUCAUCAUUCCCAGAGCUGAGGUCAGCCUUGCUCCUCCAGCCCCCAGACUGGGGCUCCUUGGGGCAGGGAGCAGCCUGCUCGUCUGGCCUCUGGCCCGGGCUUCCAGGGGCAGGUCAGACAGGUCUGGCUGGUGCAGAUGAACGUUUUGCAGCUUCCGGUGCUCAAGCCCUGGAGACCUCUGCCACUCAGUCCCACACAGGGCCUGCGCCGGCCACAUCCCACUGCCCGCCCUCAACUCGAGGGGAUGACUUCACCCUCAGGGCCUGGGUGCAGCCUGGUGUGGGUGAGUGUCUGUCCCAAGCAGACAGCCCGGUCCCAAAAGACUGCUCUGCUGCUGCUCCCCACCACCACCCAGGUGACCCCUCAGACGGCUUCAUCUGCCUGGCCAGCCUCUUCUAGCUGACUUUCCGUCUCUGAGUUGACUGGCUGGCCUGGAAAGAGGGCCUGUGUCCCCCAUGUCUAUCCCUGAUGCAGCCUCCAUGUCCAUACUGCCCUGCAGGGCCUGUCUCCCCUUCCCUCUCCCACCUCACCACCUCCUGUGUACCUGUGCUCCAAGCUCCACAAAUGCAGACCACGCUGUUAAAAAUAGAGCCUCUUUAUUGGUACCUAUAAGCUCAGGUACAAGGUGUUCCCACAAGCUCGCAGGCUGGCAAGGCCUGCUGGGCAGGAGGGCAGGCCCAGAGCCUGGGCUUCUUGGCACAGACACAGAGGAAAAAUGAAUAAAUUAUAGUUCUAAUACUCAGAGACAAUACAGAAAUUAUGAUACAAAAUCCAACAUCAGCAAACAAAGGGCAGGAAAGCCAUAAGGAGCCCCUCUCGCCCCUGGCCAACUGGCCUUAGGGUGCGGGCAGGUGGACCAGGCUGGGGUGCAGUGCCCGGAAAGCCCUGAGUGGUCCAGGGCCUACUGUGGGCCCUGAGGCAGCCCCUUAACCCUCUCUGGGCCUCCUGCUUCCCCCUCCUACAUUUACGGCCUUGGAAUAAAAGCUGCGGCCUUUGCGGGGGUAGAGGGAGAGAUGGGCAGAGGACAGGAAGGAGAGGGGAUGUGUGGAGCAGAAGAGGGUUUUGGUCACGGUUGGUCAACCCGGCCCAGCCCAGCCCAGCCCCUGCCCCUACUUGCUCAGCCAUCCAGAGCAGGGCUGCUGCACGUUAGACAGAGGGUGCAAACCCAUGCCUGGUCUACACCAAAGCCCCAGCAAGGGCAGGGUUGCAGGACUAUCAGGAAAAGGGACUUUGCGGGUGGUGGAGAGGGUCCUGUGCCCCACCCCCGACACCAGCAUUGCUCGCCAGCCACCUAGUCUCCAAAUAAAUUAUGGGAAAUAAAUUAUAGUCUUCACAGUCCAGAGGAUCCAGUCACCCAUGAGUCUAGGGCUCAGGGUGGCAGAAGAAACCAUAAGAGGUGGCUGAUUUCAGCCUCAUGUGGCUGUCUUCGGGCUUAGGAACAUCAUACAAGAUGGACAAGGAGUCUGCAAAGCUCCAGGGAAGCCACAUUUCUUCUCACUCCUGGCAUGUGCCAUGGAUGUGGAAGAGAAGGUGUGGGCAUAGGGGGGCCGGGCAACUGAAAGGGGAAGCGCCCCCCUCUCCCCAUUUCAGCAUAGAAAGUUACAAAAAUAAAUAAAUCAAUCCAGAGUGUUGCAUGAAAAUUAGUAGGAGUGCCCACAUGGGAGCCAGCCAACGGGGGACCAUUACAUAUAGACCUUGGGGAGCCCCCCAAAUUA